UACGUAGGUGGCAAGCGUUGUCCGGAAUUAUUGGGCGUAAAGGGCGCGCAGGCGGCCUGUCAAGUCUGACUUAAAAGUGCGGGGCUCAACCCCGUGAUGGGACGUAAACUGGCAGGGUGGAGUGUCGGAGAGGAAAGCAGAAUUCCUAGUGGAGCGGUGAAAUGCGUAAAUAUUAGGAGGAAUACCAGUGGCGAAAGCGGCUUUCUGGACGACAACUGACGCUGAAGCGCGAAAGCCAGGGGAGCAAACGGGAUUAAAUACCCCGGUAGUCCUGGCCGUAAACGAUGGGUACUAGGUGUAGGAGGUAUCGACCCCUUCUGUGCCGGAGUUAACGCAAUAAGUAUCCCGCCUGGGGAGUACGGCCGCAAGGCUGAAACUCAAAGGAAUUGACGGGGGCCCGCACAAGCGGUGGAGUAUGUGGUUUAAUUCGACGCAACGCGAAGAACCUUACCAAGCCUUGACAUUGAUUGAACGAGGCAGAGAUGCCUUUUUCCUCUUCGGAGGACAAGAAAACAGGUGGUGCACGCCUGUCGUCAGCUCGUGUCGUGAGAUGUUGGGUUAAGUCCCGCAACGAGCGCAACCCCUAUCUUCUGUUACCAGCACGUAAGGGUGGGGACUCAGGAGAGACUGCCGCAGACAAUACGGAGGAAGGCGGGGAUGACGUCAAGUCAUCAUGCCCCUUAUGGCGUGGGGUACACACGUACUACAAUGGCUCUUAAUAGAGGGACGCGAAGGAGCGAUCUGGAGCAAACUCCAAAAACAGAGUCCCAGUUCGGAUUGCAGGCUGCAACCCGCCUGCAUGAAGCAGGAAUCGCUAGUAAUCGCAGGUCAGCAUACUGCGGUGAAUACGUUCCCGGGCCU
rnacentral:rRNA from 1 species